UUGCUUCAGCAGCACAUAUACUAAAAUUGGAAUGAUACAGAGAAGAUUAGCAUGGCCCCUGCGCAAGGAUGACAAGCUGGGCGGUGGUGGCGCAUGCCUUUAAU